UACGUAGGGCGCAAGCGUUGUCCGGAAUUAUUGGGCGUAAAGAGCUCGUAGGCGGUUUGUCGCGUCUGCUGUGAAAACCUAAGGCUCAACCUUGGGCUUGCAGUGGGUACGGGCAGACUAGAGUGCGGUAGGGGUGAGUGGAAUUCCUGGUGUAGCAGUGAAAUGCGCAGAUAUCAGGAGGAACACCGGUGGCGAAGGCGGGUCUCUGGGCAACAACUGACGCUGAGGAGCGAAAGCGUGGGGAGCGAACAGG
rnacentral:rRNA from 1 species